UCGGAUGUGGUGCACGGUGCACGUCAGCUCCCAGUAUAUGUUUGGUAAUGAAUCCAGAUGGUUUCAAGCUGAAUGCCGGGGUUCGACUCCCUGCGUCCGAA